GCGGGUUAUUAUCAAGGACCUCCAGUGAUGCCACCUCCACAAUAUUAUGCUGCCCCACCACCUCGGAGAGAGCCUGGUUUCCUCGAGGGAUGCCUUGCAGCUUUGUGUUGUUGCUGCCUUAUUGACGAGUGUUGCUGCGACCCCUCCAUCCUCUUUAUUAGCUAACAGAGCCACAUAUUAUGCUUCUUGCACGAGUAAUUAUAGUUUGUUGUGUGUUAUAAUAAUAGAGUGAAUGAACUCUGUUAUUUAUAAUUACCCUGGAACAUUUUACUAUAUAUAUAAAUUAUAUAAUAUGGUCUCCUCUUGAUCUUUCUUCGUCCA